GAUGAACGCUGGCGGCGUGCCUAAUACAUGCAAGUCGAGCGAACGGACGAGAAGCUUGCUUCUCUGAUGUUAGCGGCGGACGGGUAAGUAACACGUGGAUAACCUACCUAUAAGACUGGGAUAACUUCGGGAAACCGGAGCUAAUACCGGAUAAUAUUUUGAACCGCAUGGUUCAAAAGUGAAAGACGGUCUUGCUGUCACUUAUAGAUGGAUCCGCGCUGCAUUAGCUAGUUGGUAAGGUAACGGCUUACCAAGGCAACGAUGCAUAGCCGACCCGAGAGGGUGAUCGGCCACACUGGAACUGAGACACGGUCCAGACUCCUACGGGAGGCAGCAGUAGGGAAUCUUCCGCAAUGGGCGAAAGCCUGACGGAGCAACGCCGCGUGAGUGAUGAAGGUCUUCGGAUCAUAAAACUCUGUUAUUAGGGAAGAACAUAUGUGUAAGUAACUGUGCACAUCUUGACGGUACCUAAUCAGAAAGCCACGGCUAACUACGUG
rnacentral:rRNA from 1 species